AGGCAGCGGUCCCGCUGCCAACGCGGAGCAGCGCGGGCAAGCAUCGGGAAUGGCUCCAGCAGCGACCGGCGGGAUCCCGCCGACUGCGCCAUCGCUGGGCCCGACGGCUGAGUGGCUGGCCAACAGCUCCGCUCUCGAUCGAGAGGUUCUGCGGGUUUUGUCAAGCCAUGGCUUACAGACAACUACUUUGACAACUAAAGUGGAUGGCAAUGAUGGCAAGGCUGAACACCUAGAGUAUAUUGCCUUUGCUUUGGUUCCUGUUUUCUUCAUCAUGGGUCUCUUGGGAAUUCUUAUCUGCCAUAUCCUUAAGAAAAAAGGAUAUCGUUGUACAACAGAAGCUGAAGAAGUAGAAGAAGAAAAAAUUGAUGAAAAAAUAGAAAUGAAUGAAACUAUACAUGAGAAUAGUGACACUGUGGGACAAAUUGUUAACUACAUCAUGAAAAAUGAAGCAAAUGCUGAUGUGUUAAAGGCAAUGGUAGCAGAUAGCAGUGUCUUUGAACCUGAAAGCCCAUUAUCUCCUACCUCUCCUGAGAGUCCAGUGAGUCCAGGGACUCCCUUGUCACCAGGUGUUGUUCCGUUCAGACACAGCUGCAAAGCCCAUCACUUCCAUACUGUUGGAGGAGUGGUAGAAAAGGAUGUUUGUACUCGCUGUAGUCACAAACGAUGGCACCUUAUAAAGCCUGCUCAAAAAGCUAAAGAGAACAGAAGGAGUCGUAUUGGAGAAGUUACAGUCCUUUCUGUGGGAAGGUUUCGAGUCACAAAAGUGGACCACAAAUCAAAUGCCAAAGAGCGGAAAAGCUUGAUGUCCGUUACUGGCGUGGAGAGCGCCAAUGGUGAGAUGCCCGCCACGCCUGCGAAACAGGAUGUGAGCGAAGCCCCUGCCACACCUGUGAAACAGGAAAUGCAGGAGAGGAGAAGCUCAGAAUAAAUGCAGAUCUGUGGAGAUUUGACUAAUAGCAAUGGAGUCACAUGAACCUGCUGAUCUCACAGGGAUCUAACUAGGCCAGGAGGUUGAGGUUUCCUUGUGAGUCAUUAAACGUGGAACCUUUAGACGAUGAUUGUCUGCAAGCACUUUGGAGAAACCUGAAAAUUCCCAAGAGAUGCAUACUAUUUAAGGAAAUGUAUUUAUGGCAGUGUAGCAUUUUACAAGUUCUGUGAUGUCAUUCCUGCAAGGUUAAACCCUUAAUCGUUUUUGACCAGUGAAAUCGUAAGAUUUAGACACUUAAAUACUGUUGAGCUGUGUGGACAUCAUAACAAAUGGCUUCAUCUUGGAAAGAAAGCAUAUGUACACAUUUUUGGACAGGAAAGGUAAAAGCUUUAUCAAGUCUUAAACUCUUUUUGUACUUAGACAAGCACUUACAAGCUCAAUAUUAAGAAUAAUACAAUUAUCUCGUGGAUAAACUGCAUUCAGCCCCGUGGUCCAUCUGGAUUUUUCCUCUCCUGUUCUGCCCGCUGCAGAAUUGACAAGUGUUUGCUGAAGAUAAAAGCCAGCCUUUGGAAGAUGAAAAUAUUCUUUCAAUCUUACUGCUUGUAGCCAAGUAAAACAUAGGAGGAAAUAAUCAGCCAAAUCUGCGUGUGUGCCUUUAUUACAUAAGCCCUCGAACUCUGUGCAGGGUACCUCACAGUAGAGACUGGUUCAGUUUUUCACAGAUGUUAAAUUAAAUUAUUUUUCCCAGGACCUGUACCUCUCCCUUACUACUUAACACAGGCUGAAGAGCAUCUUUUGGAUGAGCUCUUGGUGAGGUUACUUUCCUCAAGGCCUUAUGUUCCCUUGUUUUCUUGUAACUGCUCACUCAUAUUUGAAGAGUGCCUAAUAGUUUUGCUUUUUUUUUUUCUUACCCACAGGUUCCUUAUUAAGCUAAGGCAACAUAUUUCAACCCUUAGAUAAGGAUAUGGAAUAUUGGGCAUUAGUAUAUAUUCCAUAAAUUUUUUUAAAGUGCUUCAGAGUGGCUUUAUUGGACUAAGGGUAGUUGUAUUCAUUGACACCCAAAUCUUAAGCCAGUGUUACUCCUUUCAUAUUAUGAUGUUAACUCUCUGUAUCUCCUUCUGAUUUCAGCUUUGUCCUGUUACUUGUUUUGGGGAAGAAAAUCUCUGUUACACUUCAGCAAACUUUUCUGUGUAAUAGAAAAUCAUAUAAUUUCAGAGUGCCUAAGAAUAUAAGCUCUAUUGUAAGGCAUUUUAGUAGAGAUUGCAUUAUAUUCUGAGAACUGUAACUUAAUGUGCUUUAUGAACUCAAUGAAAAUCAGUGUAUGUUUUUGAAAUAGAUUUAUUUUAAAUUGAUAACCUUCAAUCUUUUUAAUACAAGUGCUCUAAAUUGUGUUUCUCCUUCAUAUCUGAGAAUUGUGUUUCUUCAUCGAUUUAUGCAGGCAGUGUUAACAAUCAGUGUGUACAAAAUUACUCUUCCUGCCUGUGUAUUAGUUUCUCCCAUGUCUUGUCAGGAAACAUCAAGUUUAUUUGCCCUUGUUGCAAGUAUGUGCUGCUGAUGGUCUUCCUACUAUGUGUAUUCACAAGAUACUGACGGCGCCUAUCAACAUAUACUUCUCAGCGAUACUGUAUCUGCUGAAAAAACCCCACCACUACCCACCCAAAACUUUGAAAAUAAGAACUGUUUCAUUGUUCUUUUAAAAAUGGAUAUUUUUAGAGAUAAUUGUCUUUCCUUGGGUACCCAAAAUAGCUGUUUGGCCAGGACUCUAACUUCAGUGUUAAGCACUGCUCCCUGCUCCCAUAAAUUUAAAAUCAGCUUGUGAAAUCUCUUCAAUAUUUAAGUACAACAUAAACACCAACCUCAUCUUACAGGCAUACAUUAAGCGUCACAUGAUUAUUUGUGUGAAGAAUAUUUCUAGAAGAUUUAAUUAGUAUUGGUGGUAGUAAUAAACUUUCAGUUUCCAAGAGAUUAAUAGCUAUGAGUAUAAAAUGUUAUUGGAAAAAGGGCACAUUGGAGAAAACAGCAGUUUUAAAAUAAUUUUCAGAAAGAAAAUACAUUUAAAGACUAUCCCCAGAAUUUUUUCUAGAAAUAGGGCAGUUUUUCUUGAUACUGUAUUUUGAUAUGUGAUGGAUUAGUACUUCAAAUAAAUGGCAGAAGGAUGGAAGAAAGUUUAAACAGUAAUAUGUAUUUUUUACUUAUUUUAAAAGUUGUUCCUAUUUUGAUUCCAUUGAUAAUACAUAGAAUAAAAGGGAUGGAAAGAUGUUGGAUUUGUAAAAUAUUGUUUACUGUAUAAAGUAAUUAUGUAAGGUAUUAUAAGACCUGAUACGUGCAAGAAUUGAAUUUUGCAUUGUUACCUACGUAAGAGAGGAUUUAGAAACUGUUCUGUUCCAUUGCCUGUAACACUACAUUGCUAUUUUGUAGGGUAUGGAUAUUGCCAUAUUAGUCUGCUUUUCUUAAAUUUGCUUAUCAAAUGUAUUUUUAACAAAAUAGUUUAUAUACAACUUUUAUACUACUAAGGAGUAAAUAAAAAAUAUUGAUUCUUAA